CCUACGGGCGGUAGCAGUGGGGAAUAUUGGACAAUGGGGGCAACCCUGAUCCAGCCAUGCCGCGUGUGUGAAGAAGGCCCUCGGGUUGUAAAGCACUUUCAGUGAGGAAGAACGCCUGGUGGUUAAUACCCAUCAGGAAAGACAUCACUCACAGAAGAAGCACCGGCUAACUCCGUGCCAGCAGCCGCGGUAAUACGGAGGGUGCGAGCGUUAAUCGGAAUUACUGGGCGUAAAGCGCGCGUAGGUGGCUUGAUAAGCCGGUUGUGAAAGCCCCGGGCUCAACCUGGGAACGGCAUCCGGAACUGUCAAGCUAGAGUGCAGGAGAGGAAGGUAGAAUUCCCGGUGUAGCGGUGAAAUGCGUAGAGAUCGGGAGGAAUACCAGUGGCGAAGGCGGCCUUCUGGACUGACACUGACACUGAGGUGCGAAAGCGUGGGUAGCAAACAGGAUUAGAUACCCGAGUAGUC
rnacentral:rRNA from 1 species